rnacentral:rRNA from 1 species
GCAGCAGGCGCGAAACCUUUACACUGCACGCCAGUGCGAUAAGGGGACUCCAAGUGCGAGGGCAUAUCGUCCUCGCUUUUGUGUACCGUAAGGUGGUACACGAAUAAGGGCUGGGCAAGACCGGUGCCAGCCGCCGCGGUAAUACCGGCAGCCCAAGUGAUGACCGCUCUUAUUGGGCCUAAAGCGUCCGUAGCUGGCCUCGCAAGUCCAUCGGGAAAUCCGCGCGCUCAACGCGCGGGCGUCCGGUGGAAACUGCGUGGCUUGGGACCGGAAGACCCGAGGGGUACGUUUGGGGUAGGAGUGAAAUCCCGUAAUCCUGGACGGACCACCGGUGACGAAAGCGCCUCGGGAGGACGGAUCCGACGGUGAGGGACGAAAGCCAGGGUCACGAACCGGAUUAGAUACCCGGGUAGUCCUGGCCGUAAACGAUGUCUGCUAGGUGUGUCACAGGCUACGAGCCUGUGAUGUGCCGUAGGGAAGCCGUGAAGCAGACCGCCUGGGAAGUACGUCCGCAAGGAUGAAACUUAAAGGAAUUGGCGGGGGAGCACUACAACC